rnacentral:rRNA from 1 species
UACGUAGGUGGCAAGCGUUAUCCGGAAUUAUUGGGCGUAAAGAGCGCGCAGGUGGUUGAUUAAGUCUGAUGUGAAAGCCCACGGCUUAACCGUGGAGGGUCAUUUGGAAACUGGUCAACUUGAGUGCAGAAGAGGGAAGUGGAAUUCCAUGUGUAGCGGUGAAAAUGCGUAGAGAUAUGGAGGAACACCAGUGGCGAAGGCGGCUUCCUGGUCUGUAACUGACACUGAGGCGCGAAAAGCGUGGGGGAGCAAACAGG